rnacentral:rRNA from 1 species
GGUUGACCUCGGAUCAGGUAGGGAUACCCGCUGAACUUAAGCAUAUCAAUAAGCGGAGCAAAAGAUACCAACAGGGAUUGCCUCAGUAACGGCGAGUGAAGCGGCAAGAGCUCAAAUUUGAA